UAGGGAAUCUUCCGCAAUGGGCGAAAGCCUGACGGAGCAACGCCGCGUGAGUGAUGAAGGUCUUCGGAUUGUAAAACUCUGUUAUUAGGGAAGAACAAACGUGUAAGUAACUGUGCACGUCUUGACGGUACCUAAUCAGAAAGCCACGGCUAACUACGUGCCAGCAGCCGCGGUAAUACGUAGGUGGCAAGCGUUAUCCGGAAUUAUUGGGCGUAAAGCGCGCGUAGGCGUUUUUUUAAGUCUGAUGUGAAAGCCCACGGCUCAACCGUGGAGGGUCAUUGGAAACUGGAAAACUUGAGUGCAGAAGAGGAAAGUGGAAUUCCAUGUGUAGCGGUGAAAUGCGCAGAGAUAUGGAGGAACACCAGUGGCGAAGGCGACUUUCUGGUCUGUAACUGACGCUGAUGUGCGAAAGCGUGAGGAUCAAACA
rnacentral:rRNA from 1 species